AGAGUUUGAUCCUGGCUCAGAUUGAACGCUGGCGGCAUGCCUUACACAUGCAAGUCGAACGGCAGCACGGGAGCAAUCCUGGUGGCGAGUGGCGAACGGGUGAGUAAUAUAUCGGAACGUGCCCAGUCGUGGGGGAUAACGUAGCGAAAGCUACGCUAAUACCGCAUACGAUCUAUGGAUGAAAGCGGGGGAUCGCAAGACCUCGCGCGAUUGGAGCGGCCGAUAUCAGAUUAGGUAGUUGGUGGGGUAAAAGCCUACCAAGCCGACGAUCUGUAGCUGGUCUGAGAGGACGACCAGCCACACUGGGACUGAGACACGGCCUAGACUCCUACGGGAGGCAGCAGUGGGGAAUUUUGGACAAUGGGCGCAAGCCUGAUCCAGCAAUGCCGCGUGCAGGAUGAAGGCCUUCGGGUUGUAAACUGCUUUUGUACGGAACGAAACGGUCCUUUCUAAUAUAAGGGGCUAAUGACGGUACCGUAAGAAUAAGCACCGGCUAACUACGUGCCAGCAGCCGCGGUAAUACGUAGGGUGCAAGCGUUAAUCGGAAUUACUGGGCGUAAAGCGUGCGCAGGCGGUUAUAUAAGACAGAUGUGAAAUCCCCGGGCUCAACCUGGGACCUGCAUUUGUGACUGUAUAGCUAGAGUACGGCAGAGGGGGAUGGAAUUCCGCGUGUAGCAGUGAAAUGCGUAGAUAUGCGGAGGAACACCGAUGGCGAAGGCAAUCCCCUGGGCCUGUACUGACGCUCAUGCACGAAAGCGUGGGGAGCAAACAGGAUUAGAUACCCUGGUAGUC
rnacentral:rRNA from 1 species